GCCAACAUGGUGAAUCAUAUUUUGAUUAGAUCACUUAAUGAUUGGGGUUGACCCAUGCUAACUAAGAAAUCAGUAUGACUGAUUUAGGUGUCCCUAGUUCAACUUAUCUUGAGUCCUCUUUAUAAUUUGAUGAAGUCAGUGGAAGGAUUCAUGACUGGUUGGCUGGACCAGUUUAUGCCUGAUCUUUUUUAAUCUGACUUGAUGAAAUCAAUGGAAGUAUUAAGAUUAACUAAUCAAGUCUC
rnacentral:lncRNA from 1 species